CUAGGAGAGGAGAGCAUUGGAAAGACAUUCUUGAUCACCAAAUUCAUGUAUGAUAUUUUUGAAAACACCUACCAGACAAUUGGCAUUGAUUUUUUAUCAAAAACGAUGUAUUUGGAGGAUUGAGCAAUCAGGCUACAGUGUAUAAAGUUUCCAUAGCCUCAUUUCCACUUACUUACGCAAUUCUGCUGCAGCCAUAGUAGUUUAUGAUAUUACAAGUGUCAAUUGCUUCCAGCAAACUACAAAAUGGACUGACGAUGUCAGAACAGAAAGAAAAAGUGGUGUUAUCAUCAUGCUAGUACAAAAUGAAACAGAUGUUGUUGACAAGAAGCCAGUGUCUACUGAGGAAGGAGAGAGGAAAGCCAGAGCUGAAUGUCAUGUUUAUUGAAACUAGUGAAAAAGCAGGAAAAACAUAAAGCAGCUUUUCUGAUGUGUGGCAGCAGCUUUGCUUGGAAUGGAAAGCACACAGGACAGAAGCAGAGAAGGCAUGAUUGACAUAAAAGUGGAAAAGGCUCAGGACCAGCCAGUCGGCAAAGGCUGUUCCUGCUAA